rnacentral:tRNA from 1 species
GGUGUAUCGGUCUUCAAACCCAGUUGAGGGCGUCAGACGCUCUCGGGUCGGUUCGACUCCGGCUGCCUUCCGCCA